UACGAAGGGGGCUAGCGUUGCUCGGAAUUACUGGGCGUAAAGGGCGCGUAGGCGGACAGCUUAGUCAGAGGUGAAAGCCCAGGGCUCAACCUUGGAAUUGCCUUUGAUACUGGCUAUCUUGAGUUCGGGAGAGGUGAGUGGAAUGCCGAGUGUAGAGGUGAAAUUCGUAGAUAUUCGGAAGAACACCAGUGGCGAAGGCGGCUCACUGGCCCGGUACUGACGCUGAGGUGCGAAAGCGUGGGGAGCAAACAGG
rnacentral:rRNA from 1 species